GAUGAACGCUAGCGGCAGGCUUAAUACAUGCAAGUCGAGGGGUAGCAAGAUUGUAGCAAUACAAUUGUUGACGACCGGCAAACGGGUGCGGAACACGUACCCAACCUUCCUACAAGUGGGGAAUAGCCCAGAGAAAUUUGGAUUAAUACCCCGUAACAUAGCGAUGUGGCAUCACAUUGCUAUUAUAGCUUCGGCGCUUGUUGAUGGGUGUGCGGCUGAUUAGAUAGUUGGCGGGGUAACGGCCCACCAAGUCUACGAUCAGUAGCUGAUGUGAGAGCAUGAUCAGCCACACGGGCACUGAGACACGAGCCCGACUCCUACGGGAGGCAGCAGUAAGGAAUAUUGGACAAUGGACGCAAGUCUGAUCCAGCCAUGCCGCGUGAAGGAUUAAGGUCCUCUGGAUUGUAAACUUCUUUUAUAAGGGACGAAAAAAGGUCUUUCUAGAUCGUCUGACGGUACCUUAUGAAUAAGCACCGGCUAACUCCGUGCCAGCCGCCGCAGUAACAC
rnacentral:rRNA from 1 species